GUGCCCGGGCGCACGCCACACGAAUCCUCCUUCCCUGGCCCUGCGGUUCUUUCUCCUGUGACGAGGCUUCCCUAUCUGGGCCCGACUGGUUCCGCACCCAACCUUAAACGGUGUCAGACACGCUGGCUAGAACAGGCACGGGAGCACGUGUGGCCUGGUGGCCAAGUGGUGAUGUGGCCACUGGCUCUGGAGUCAAACACUGGGCACAUCCCCACUUAGUCCCCACCCCCUUCCUAGCGGCCCGCAGGACCUCUGUGAGUCGCUGAACCUUGUUGAGCCUCAGUGUUUUCAUCUGCAAAAUGGGGAUAUGCGUACCUGUAGGGAGGACCUUCCGUAGAUGGCGGGGGUAGGAGCUUAACAGAGUUCCUUGCACAAGAUGAACCCUUUGCAUUUUGAUCUGCCCGGCUCUCUGGGCGGGCUCCAGUUCCUCAGGUCACUUACAAGAGGGAUCAAGCUCUCUGGCAAAGACCACUGCUGGACGCGACUUAUUUCUUAAUCUAGGACGAAUGCUCUUCUAGACAAAACGUAUGUCCUCUGUGCCAGGACGCCGGGAUCCAUGUCUUAAAAGGGGUUUUCGGUGAAAGCCCGGCUACCAGACAACCUGGUUUUCGCAAAACCACCAGGAGCAAAACCCAUUGAUAUACAGCGUAAGGAAAUACACAUAAUUCACAAAUGAUGUCGAUCACUUUCAUCUAAGACUUCACAACUGUCCUCAAUAGAAGACAGACGCGGAGGAGAUUUAACGCAGAUGUUAAUAGCGCAAGAAUGCCCCGUUACCAGGAUAUGAUGUUUCGGUGCUGCAUAAAAAUAUUCUGACACUUAUGUAUUCUCAACAAAGACUCCAGGUCCAGGGUCUGUGAAAUUCAGCCAAUGAAGCAGAAGGGGCUUGGACCAUUCCUGCAAAUAGCCAGACCUAUGGAAGAAGCAUGGGCCCUGGGCUUCCCCCAGAGAAUGUGGGGUUCUCGGGACCAGCCUGCCUUCAGCUGCACUGUCCUUAGAGUCCACAUGAGCUCCCUAGGCCAGCCCUGGUCCCCUUGUCCAGCCUUCUUGGCUCCCACUGCCUGGACUUUUCAUUUGUUCCCCGAUGUCUCCUCUCCUUGGCUGCCUCUCUGGGCAUCCAAACAGUCUGAAGCAUUCCUGGUCUCAAGGCCAUCUGUCACCCUGACAGUCUAGGAGCUAUAAGGCCUGGCUCUGCCCAGCCACCUGGAAGGCCCUUCCUGCUGGGAAUCUUGUUGGGGGUGGGGGGGAUGUGGCUGCAAACUAGCCUAGGCGAGGGGGACCCGGCCAGGCCAGCCAGGAGGUCCGGCCUUUGACAAGGCCCUCGAUGACCAGCCUGGCUGAUCGGGCACUAGCUUCCUGUUGCUCCCCCAGAGAGUCCCAGGGGAUACCCUCCAUGAUGGAGGCCUUAGGGCCACCGGGAAGGAGACUAAGGGGCACCUAGACAUGCCAUCCCAGGACCAAGUCAGGACACAGCAGGGCCGGGACUCCUCCUCCCGUCGGGAAUGGAUGCUACAGUCACGGUUCCACGUGAGCAUGUCUAAGGUACGGUGGGAGCAGCCAGGCCCAGGGUCCACCAGAGCCCUCGGGGAGGCACGGGGUGGGCACCCAGCAGCUGCCGGCAGCAGGCAGCCCCUGACAGGUCUUUUGGGGAGUUCACCGGCCUGCACCUCUAAGGAGCCCAGUGCAGCUUCGUUGGAGGGAGGGCGAGACAGAGUCCGAGGCUUCAAGUCAGCCCCUGGCCAGUGGAGCAGACUGAGUGCGGGGCCGCGCCCACGUCCAGCAAACUCAGAGCCCGUGGGCCUCUCUGGACUUUUCCUGGUCCAGCCUGGCCAAGCCUGGAGACCCUUUCUGCUCACUGGGGGACACCCUAGCGGGAGCCGACACAACCCACAGAGGCAACCAGUCUGAAAGUCAUAGGCCUUCGGAGCUUCAGAAGAACAUGGAGAGCCUUCUCUGAGGUCCCCUUGCUGGGGUGAGUCCCAGGAGUGCCCCAGGGGAUGCUAAGCACAAAGGAGAGGGGAGGACAGUAUUUGGGCCUGCGGCGUCCUGCCGGCGGGGACCUCCAGCGUCCCUGUGCUUGCCUGCUUCCUAUGAAAUGUGGUGAUGCAGGCCUCGGGGGCGGAGAGGGGAAAGUGUGCACACCGCGUCAUCAGGCUGCUGUGGUCUCUCCUCUCUUCGGCUGUGUGACUUUGGGCAAGGCGCUAACGUCUCUGUGCCUCGGUUUCCUCAUCAGUCCAAUGGGGGUGAGAAUAAUCGGGGCUGUUGAGGGGUAAGUGAGGAAACACGACGCCCGGAGUGCAGGGCCCUGCACCUAGCCUGUGCUCAGAACCUGUAAGCCAUUCUCGGGGCUGCUCUGGUUGCUGUUCAGGCAAAUCAGAGCAGCCAAACCGCAGGGCUCCGAGGCCCAGGCAGGGGGAAUGUCUGCUGUUCCAGGAGAGCACAGAGGGCCCUCCGCCGUAGCUCAGACAUCUCUGGGGGCGCUGCGUGAUGAUAGGAUCCUACGUGAGAUGCCGUCCCCUGGGCCUCCGGGGCCGUGACCCUAGGUCUUGCGAGGACCCCAUGAGAAGAGAAGGGGGCGCAUUACUGCUUUUUUUUCAUGACUCCCUGCUCUCUGCCUCUGGUUCCCAUGGCGGCAGCCGGUACCCCGCUGGCUCGGGCAGCUCCGGUGACCCCCGCUGACCUCUGGGGACACCGGUGCUCCUGAAGCCCAGCUGUGGCCUGAGUGGGAGCUGCACCAGGUACUUCCCUGGAAGGGCGGCGCCCCCCGCCCGCCCCCUCCGGGCCGGCCCAGCGCUGGAAGUGGGGUUUGAAACGCCGCCAAGGAGAGGAGGCCGUGGGCACCGCCCGGAACGCGAAACAGAUAAAUAAAUAAAUAAUCAGGGUUGUCUU